rnacentral:rRNA from 1 species
AACGUACGCUGGCGGCACGCCUAACACAUGCAAGUCGAACGAAGUAGCAAUACUUAGUGGCAGACGGGUGAGUAACAUGUAGGUAUCUACCCUUUGGCCUGGAAUAACACGAGGAAACUUGUGCUAAUACCGGAUAAGUCUUUACGGAGAAAGCUUUAUGCACCAUUGGAUGAGCCCGCACUUGAUUAGUUUGUUGGUGGGGUAAUGGCCUACCAAGACUGUGAUCAAUAGCUGAUUUGAGAGGAUGAUCAGCCACAUUGGGACUGAGACACGGCCCAAACUCCUACGGGAGGCAGCAGUGGGGAAUCUUGCACAAUGGAGGAAACUCUGAUGCAGCGAUGCCGCGUGAGUGAAGAAGGCCCUUGGGUUGUAAAGCUCUUUCGUCGGGGAAGAAAAUGACUGUACCCGAAUAAGAAGGUCCGGCUAACUUCGUGCCAGCAGCCGCGGUAAUACGAAGGGACCUAGCGUAGUUCGGAAUUACUGGGCUUAAAGAGUUCGUAGGUGGUUAAAAAAGUUAGUGGUGAAAUCCCAGAGCUUAACUCUGGAACUGCCAUUAAAACUUUUCAGCUAGAGUAUGAUAGAGGAAAGCAGAAUUUCUAGUGUAGAGGUGAAAUUCGUAGAUAUUAGAAAGAAUACCAAUUGCGAAGGCAGCUUUCUGGAUCAUUACUGACACUGAGGAACGAAAGCAUGGGUAGCGAAGAGGAUUAGAUACCCUCGUAGUCCAUGCCGUAAACGAUGUGUGUUAGACGUUGGAAAUUUAUUUUCAGUGUCGCAGCGAAAGCGAUAAACACACCGCCUGGGGAGUACGACCGCAAGGUUAAAACUCAAAUGAAUUGACGGGGACCCGCACAAGUAGUGGAGCAUGUGGUUUAAUUCGAAGAUACGCGCAGAACCUUACCAACACUUGACAUGUUCGUCGCGACUCUAAGAGAUUAGAGUUUUCGGUUCGGCCGGACGAAACACAGGUGCUGCAUGGCUGUCGUCAGCUCGUGUCGUGAGAUGUUGGGUUAAGUCCCGCAACGAGCGCAACCCUCACUUUUAGUUGCCAUCAUUAAGUUGGGCACUCUGAAAGAACUGCCAGUGAUAAGCUGGAGGAAGGUGGGGAUGACGUCAAGUCCUCAUGGCCCUUACGUGUUGGGCUACACACGUGCUACAAUGGUAUCUACAACAGGAAGCAAGACUGCGAGGUCAAGCAAAUCCUUAAAAGAUACCUCAGUUCGGAUUGCACUCUGCAACUCGAGUGCAUGAAGCUGGAAUUACUAGUAAUCGUGGAUCAGCGUGCCACGGUGAAUGCGUUCCCGGGUCUUGUACACACCGCCCGUCACACCAUGGGAGUUGGUUCUACCUUAAGGCAAGGUUUCAAACCCUUGACCACGGUAUAGUCAGCGACUGGGGUG